rnacentral:rRNA from 1 species
UACAGAGGGGGCAAGCGUUGUUCGGAAUUACUGGGCGUAAAGGGCGCGUAGGCGGCCUUCUAAGUCGAACGUGAAAUCCCCGGGCUCAACCCGGGAACUGCGUCCGAUACUGGAAGGCUUGAAUCCGGGAGAGGGAUGCGGAAUUCCAGGUGUAGCGGUGAAAUGCGUAGAUAUCUGGAGGAACACCGGUGGCGAAGGCGGCAUCCUGGGCCUGCACUGACGCUCAUGCACGAAAGCGUGGGGAGCAAACAGG